rnacentral:rRNA from 1 species
GUGGGGAAUUUUGGACAAUGGGCGCAAGCCUGAUCCAGCAAUGCCGCGUGCAGGAAGAAGGCCUUCGGGUUGUAAACUGCUUUUGUACGGAACGAAACGGUCCGGGUUAAUACCCUGGGCUAAUGACGGUACCGUAAGAAUAAGCACCGGCUAACUACGUGCCAGCAGCCGCGGUAAUACGUAGGGUGCAAGCGUUAAUCGGAAUUACUGGGCGUAAAGCGUGCGCAGGCGGUUUUGUAAGACAGGCGUGAAAUCCCCGGGCUCAACCUGGGAAUUGCGCUUGUGACUGCAAGGCUGGAGUGCGGCAGAGGGGGAUGGAAUUCCGCGUGUAGCAGUGAAAUGCGUAGAUAUGCGGAGGAACACCGAUGGCGAAGGCAAUCCCCUGGGCCUGCACUGACGCUCAUGCUCGAAAGCGUGGGGAGCAAACAGGAUUAGAUACCCCAGUAGUCC